GCGGCGGACGGGUGAGUAACACGUGGGCAACCUGCCCUGCAGACUGGGAUAACUUCGGGAAACCGGAGCUAAUACCGGAUAACACCGAAAACCGCAUGGUUUUCGGUUGAAAGGCGGCUUUUAGCUGUCACUGCAGGAUGGGCCCGCGGCGCAUUAGCUAGUUGGUGAGGUAACGGCUCACCAAGGGCGACGAUGCGUAGCCGACCUGAGAGGGUGACCGGCCACACUGGGACUGAGACACGGCCCAGACUCCUACGGGAGGCAGCAGUAGGGAAUCUUCCGCAAUGGACGAAAGUCUGACGGAGCAACGCCGCGUGAGCGAAGAAGGUCUUCGGAUCGUAAAGCUCUGUUGUCAGGGAAGAACAAGUGCCGUUCGAACAGGGCGGUACCUUGACGGUACCUGACGAGGAAGCCACGGCUAACUACGUGCCAGCAGCCGCGGUAAUAC
rnacentral:rRNA from 1 species